UUUAUCGGUAUCUUUAUCGUUAAAGAUGACCAAACAGCUCAUCAAUAUGUUUCUUUAUCAAAACAUCAUGAUGAAUUGUGUUUCUUUUCCUGUUUUUUAUUACUUUAUCCUUUAAUCCCUUCACCUUGACCUUACAGGCCAACAUUUGGUAAACAGACUAUACAUUUACCAUUAUCACUGCCGCUAUCAUCCAAUUACAGUUAUUUUUUUCUUAUAAUCCUUUUUUUCUCGUUCUUGUUUCUUUGUUUCGUGAACUUAUAACAGUUACCAAGUGACCAAAUUUAAUUUUGACUGAUAUUCAAACUUAUCUACUUCCUGUAUCGUGCUGAUCGAUUUAGAUUAAAGGCUAAUUGAUUGAUUUCAAAGAAGAAGCUAAUCUAUUGACUUAAAGAAUGGCCAUUUUGAUUCAGACAAAAAUAUUGGUGAACAACAAAAGGUUUAUAAUCUUUCAGAUAUCAAAAUUAUAGGGUUUUCGGAGGACUAGAAAGACUGGGUAUGUUCAUGGAUUAUCAACAAUCAAAAGAAUUUAGUGAAUAAUUGAACAAUUUGCUGUAAUGUUAUGCCGGUCAAAACUAAAGAAAAGAAGAAAAGGACAAAAUAAAGGUGUAAGGAACGGAUAAAAAAAGACUAAAAUGAAAAUAAAUUUUGAGACGAUAAUGAUAGCGAGAUGUGAAAAGAAGCCUCGGUACUCAUGAAAAUCAUGCAUAAUGAAUAAAAGGGAAUUCAGUAGUAGCCAGGAUCAAGUUAACAAAAUCGGACAUUUUACCCUGUAAAGAGUAAAUGAAAGUACCAACAAGAUCAAGCUUUAUUUGGUCCAAUUUACUAUUCCAUUGUUUUUUUCUUACAUCUACAAACUAAAUACGCUCGGGAUGGCGACACCUAAAAUUAACUUAACCCUGACCAAUACUGUAAUAGUUUUCCACCUUUAAGGAUGAUAAACAAUACGAGAGAGGAAAUUGAGAUUGGGAUGAGCAAAAGGAAGGCUGGAAACAAUGUCAAGACGGAGAUCAUAUUUGGCUUUAAAUCCUAAUUGACUGCUUCUCGAGUACAAUUGUGUGUUUCAAGAAAGAAGCAACCAUUUUUGAUUAUGUCUAUUAAUUCAUAUCAUCUUGAUGGGAAAACAUUAUUGGUGUUCAUGAUGUAAAGAAAAGCGUUAACUGGGAAGAUCCUGAACUUUUCAUCGCCAUCUCACUGUAAAUAUCCAACUGGAAACUCAACUUUAUUACCAAAAAGUUAUAACAAUAGGAGAAAAUAUUAUAAUAAAUUUGGAAAUAAUAGGAACAAUAAUAAUGAUGACUAUAAUGUUGAUAAUAAUCAUGGUUGAUACGCCAAGUGACCUCAAUAUAUUCCUCUCGCUCUUCAAGUGACCUGGAUAUCUAUUUAAAAACUAAACCUUGAUUUAACUGUUGAUUGGACUGAUCAAACUGUUAACAUAGAGAAUGAACACAAAAUGAUAAUAAUCAAUGGCCGAUAUUUCUUAGAUUACCUGAAUUAUCUUAAUGAUUAUAAUGGUUAUGAUCGUUAAUGGGCAGUCAAUGUCCAUUUUUGCGAUUCAUGUUUGUGCUUCUCUCGAUACGCUUGAGGCAGAUUGUUGAUGUAUCUAAUUGUUCAAAGGAAUCAAAUUAACUCUCACCAUCAACAGUUGCCCAAAAUAAUUGAACAACAUCAUCUACUACAUGCUACUACCACUAUUACAAGAGCGCCAACAAGCCCACAAAAACGAUAAGAAAGAAUGGAAAAGAAAUAAAGAGAAGAAAAAUUAAGAUCACAGCCAGGAUGCGUUUCAGGGGAAACAAACAAAGUGUCAAAGCCUCACCCAUCAAAGAAAAAACGAAAUCGAUAUAAAUAUAAACAUUAAUUACCAGCCACGGGAAUUGACCAAACGAUGCAUCAGAGCCACCAACAAUUCUGCUGAUUCUGGUUGCACUUCUUCCACAAUCUGUAAAAAAAUAG